AGGUGCUUCCUAGGGGCUUUUUGAAAACAAGAUCAGCUCAGACGCUCCAAAUCCUCCAUCCCAAAUUUGCCAACACAAAUUCAAUUCCUUCCUACAGUGAAAACAGCAAGCUUGCCUGGAUAAAGCUUGUCGCAGAAGCAAUAUGAGGCACCUGAAACGCGGGCACCGAACCAACGCAGGGGGGUCUGGAGAGAGGUUCUUCUCCCUACACACGUCGGACCAAAGUCUCCAAACUAGGAACCACAGCUGAGCCUGCACACGUGAUCACAGCCAGUUUGGAAGGCUCAGAAGGAGUCAAGAUCUGCUGCUAGAGACCGUGAGAUGUUCUCUGCCUGUCCUUAUAUAUGUACUUUCGCUAGGUUGUUUUACACUGCUCCUCACCAUCGUAUCUUCUGAGCAUCUCUGUAUUGGGCAAGCCACUCGGGGAGCAGAAUUAUCAAG